UGCRGUGAGUGAAGGCCUUAGGGUUGUAAAGCUCUUUUAUCCGGGACGAUAAUGACGGUACCGGAGGAAUAAGCCCCGGCUAACUUUCGUGCCAGCAGCCGCGGGUAAUACGAAGGGGGUGAAAGCCUHUCGSUCAACCACAGAAUGSCCUUCGAUACUGGGACGCUUGAGUAUGGUAGAGGUUGGUGGAACUGCGAGUGUACAGGUGAAAUUCGUAGAUAUUCGCAAGAACACCGGUGGCGAAGGCGGCCGGCCAACUGGACCAUUACUGACGCUAGGGCGCGAAAGCGUGGGGAGCAAAC
rnacentral:rRNA from 1 species